rnacentral:rRNA from 1 species
CAGUAGCCACGGUAAUACGAAGGGUGCAAGCGUUAAUCGGAAUUACUGGGCGUAAAGCGUGCGUAGGCGGUGAGUUAAGUCUGCUGUGAAAUCCCCGGGCUUAACCUGGGAACUGCGCUUGUGACUGCACAGCUAGAGUAUGGCAGAGGGGGGUGGAAUUCCACGUGUAGCAGUGAAAUGCGUAGAGAUGUGGAGGAACACCGAUGGCGAAGGCAGCCCCCCUGGGCCAAUACUGACGCUCAUGCACGAAAGCGUGGGGAGCAAACAGGAUUAGAUACCCGGGUAGUCCCUGUCUCUUAUA